UCAAAUGACUUUUGAACUUAGUGGCGGACGGGUGAGUAACGCGUGAGCAACCUACCUUUCAUGGGGGACAACAGUUGGAAACGACUGGCUAAUACCGCAUGACGCAUAGAGGUCGCAUGAUCUUUAUGCCAAAGAUUUAUCGCUUCAAGAUGGCCUCGCGUCUGAUUAGCUAGUUGGUGAGGUAACGGCCCACCAAGGCGACGAUCAGUAGCCGGACUGAGAGGUUGAACGGCCACACUUGGGACUGAGAUACGGCCCAGACUCC
rnacentral:rRNA from 1 species